rnacentral:rRNA from 1 species
AACGAACGCUGGCGGCAGGCUUAACACAUGCAAGUCGAGCGCCCCGCAAGGGGAGCGGCAGACGGGUGAGUAACGCGUGGGAAUCUACCUAGCUCUACGGAAUAACCCAGGGAAACUUGGACUAAUACCGUAUACGUCCUUCGGGAGAAAGAUUUAUCGGAGUUAGAUGAGCCCGCGUUGGAUUAGCUAGUUGGUGGGGUAAUGGCCUACCAAGGCGACGAUCCAUAGCUGGUCUGAGAGGAUGAUCAGCCACACUGGGACUGAGACACGGCCCAAACUCCUACGGGAGGCAGCAGUGGGGAAUAUUGGACAAUGGGCGCAAGCCUGAUCCAGCCAUGCCGCGUGAGUGAUGAAGGCCUUAGGGUUGUAAAGCUCUUUUAGCAGGGACGAUAAUGACGGUACCUGCAGAAAAAGCCCCGGCCAACUUCGUGCCAGCCGCCGCGGUAACAC